CUUAGUAUGGAAACUUACUAAGUGAUAACUUUCAAAAAUCCGUCGACUUUAUAAAUCGUGAGGGUUCAAGUCCCUCUAUCCCCA
rnacentral:tRNA from 1 species